AUUGGCAGAUUAGUGCAAAGGUCUUAAAAUCCUUAAAUAAAGAAAAUUUCUUUUAUUAAAA
rnacentral:tRNA from 1 species